rnacentral:rRNA from 1 species
UACGUAGGGUCCGAGCGUUGUCCGGAAUUAUUGGGCGUAAAGGGCUCGUAGGCGGUUCGUCACGUCGGGAGUGAAAACUCGGGGCUUAACCCCCGAGCCUGCUUCCGAUACGGGCAGACUAGAGGUAGGCAGGGGAGAGCGGAACUCCUGGUGUAGCGGUGGAAUGCGCAGAUAUCAGGAAGAACACCGGUGGCGGAAGGCGGCUCUCUGGGCCUUACCUGACGCUGAGGAGCGAAAGCGUGGGUAGCGAACAGG